AGGAGGAGGAGGAGGAGGAGGAAGUGAAAGAGCGGGUGGGACUUGAGUGGGACCCACUGGGCAUCUUCUUUGAGAGUUAGGGAUCGCCGAGUCGAAUCCACGUUGACUUAGUCAGCUCAAAGUUGAAUCUCAUUUCACUCUGUUUCGCUUAUUUGUUGAUGUCCACUAUUUCGUCAAAGUGGGAAGAACCGGCCCUGCACCAUGCGAGGCUGCG
rnacentral:misc_RNA from 1 species